AACUUUCGACAUUGGAUCACUUGGCUCUCGCAUCGAUGAAGAACGCAGCGAAAUGCUAUAAGUAAUGUGAAUUGCAGAUUUUCAGUGAAUCAUCGAAUCUUUGAACGCACCUUGCGCCCCUCGGUAUUCCGAGGGGCAUGCGUGUUUGAGUGUCAUUGAAAUAUCAACCUUGGGUGGAUUUGCUUCCUCUACGAUGGUUGGACUUUGGAUAGUGCUGGCGUCAGGUCGGCUCCUCUUAAAUGCAUCAGCGGAAAACUUUGACCUCUGGACGUCAGCGUGAUAAUCACGUUGCGCUGUCGACCGAGGUGUCAUCAUAAGGACCCGCUUCUAAUGGUCUUCGGACAGGACAUCAAAUUUGACCUCAAAUCAGGUAGGACUACCCGCUGAACUUAAGCAUAUCAAUAAGCGGAGGCU
rnacentral:misc_RNA from 1 species